UACGGAAGGCAGCAGUGGGGAAUAUUGCACAAUGGGCGCAAGCCUGAUGCAGCCAUGCCGCGUGUAUGAAGAAGGCCUUCGGGUUGUAAAGUACUUUCAGCGGGGAGGAAGGGAGUAAAGUUAAUACCUUUGCUCAUUGACGUUACCCGCAGAAGAAGCACCGGCUAACUCCGUGCCAGCAGCCGCGGUAAUACGGAGGGUGCAAGCGUUAAUCGGAAUUACUGGGCGUAAAGCGCACGCAGGCGGUUUUGUUAAGUCAGAUGUGAAAUCCCCGGGCUCAACCUGGGAACUGCAUCUGAUACUGGCAAGCUUGAGUCUCGUAGAGGGGGUAGAAUUCCAGGUGUAGCGGUGAAAUGCGUAGAGAUCUGGAGGAAUACCGGUGGCGAAGGCGGGCCCCUGGACGAGACUGACGCUCAGGUGCGAAAGCGUGGGGAGCAAACGAGGAUUAGGAUAACC
rnacentral:rRNA from 1 species